rnacentral:tRNA from 2 species
GCAGUAAUUGGCUUAAAGGAAGAUCCAGGCACUAAUGUUGCCUGAAAUCUAUUAUACAUAGGUUUUUUAGGAUCAUUAUUCAAACUAUUCCAC